rnacentral:rRNA from 1 species
UACGGAGGGUGCAAGCGUUAUCCGGAUUCACUGGGUUUAAAGGGUGCGUAGGUGGAGUGGUAAGUCAGUGGUGAAAUCCCCAAGCUUAACUUGGAACUGCCGUUGAUACUAUCAUUCUUGAAUAUCGUGGAGGUAAGCGGAAUAUGUCAUGUAGCGGUGAAAUGCUUAGAUAUGACAUAGAACACCGAUUGCGAAGGCAGCUUGCUACACGAUCAUUGACACUGAGGCACGAAAGCGUGGGGAUCAAACAGG